rnacentral:rRNA from 1 species
UACAGAGGUCUCAAGCGUUGUUCGGAUUCAUUGGGCGUAAAGGGUGCGUAGGCGGCGCGGUAAGUCGGGUGUGAAAUCUCGGAGCUUAACUCCGAAACUGCAUUCGAUACUGCCGUGCUUGAGGACUGGAGAGGAGACUGGAAUUUACGGUGUAGCGGUGAAAUGCGUAGAUAUCAGGAGGAACACCGGUGGCGAAGGCGGCAUCCUGGACCGAGAUUGACGCUGAGGCACGAAGGCCAGGGGAGCAAACGGG